rnacentral:rRNA from 1 species
AGUGAACGCUGCGGUAGGCCUAACACCUGCAAGUCGAACGGCAGCACAGUAAGAGCUUGCUCUUACGGGUGGCGAGUGGCGGACGGGUGAGGAAUACAUCGGAAUCUACUUUUUCGUGGGGGAUAACGUAGGGAAACUUACGCUAAUACCGCAUACGACCUACGGGUGAAAGCAGGGGAUCUUCGGACCUUGCGCGAUUGCAUGAGCCGAUGUCGGAUUAGCUAGUUGGCGGGGUAAAGGCCCACCAAGGCGACGAUCCGUAGCUGGUCUGAGAGGAUGAUCAGCCACACUGGAACUGAGACACGGUCCAGACUCCUACGGGAGGCAGCAGUGGGGAAUAUUGGACAAUGGGCGCAAGCCUGAUCCAGCCAUACCGCGUGGGUGAAGAAGGCCUUCGGGUUGUAAAGCCCUUUUGUUGGGAAAGAAAAGCAGCAGGUUAAUACCCCGCUGUUCUGACGGUACCCAAAGAAUAAGCACCGGCUAACUUCGUG